GUGCUCACUUUGGCAGCACAUAUGCUAAAAUUGAAAAGUGAUACAGAGAUUAGCAACGGCCCUUGCACAAGGAUGGCCUGCAAAUUUUAGAAGCAUUUCAUAUUUUU